rnacentral:tRNA from 1 species
AACUCUGUGACACAAUGGCUCAGUGCAUCUGGCUGUUAACCAGGAGGUUGGUGAUUCGAGCCCAGCCAGGGAUA